AAGAGAUCCAUGAAAAUGAGAAUAGAGACUUGGGGACUGAGCAACGUGGCUCUUCUGGAUGCCAGCUUGGGGGCACUGAUGAAUAUUGAUGGCUCAGGAGGCAAAGUCAGUAUGGAUGUCAGAGGAAAGAUACCAUCCCUUCUGCUUUCUCAGUCUGGGUUCCGGAGACAGGCAACCUAAUUAUUCUGAACAAGGCACUGGAGGCACAAAGACAAAAAACCAAAACAGACUCCACUCCUAAUGAGCUUUAUGUUAUCUUUGGAGAAAAGCAAAUCAAUAAAAAAGGCACUGAUAGAUUUA